AUUCUACUGGGUAGAGAAAACACUCAGAACUAAGUGAGUAUAGGAUAGACAGAUAUACUCAUGUAUGACACACAGAUCAUGCUUAUGUAAUUACAUACAUGGAUAAUUUACCAGCCCAUGCCAGAAAACUGAACAGCUUUUAUUUGAAUUGUGAGGAUCAUUUACAGAUUAGGAGAUCAAAUUAAGCAGUUCUCUUGAGCUAAACUACCAAGUAUUCAAACUGUUCUACAGAGAUCACAAGUCCAAUGUGCUGGCUGGCCAUCUUAUUCAAAUGACAAAAGUAUAAAAGAUUAUUUUUACCAAGAACUCAACACAAGGCAAGUAUUCACACAGAAGGCAGAAGAAGUGAAGCAAGGACAUUCUCAAAGUCUCUGAAGAACUUUGGUAUCAACUGUGACCUAUAAAAGACAAUGGCAUAGAAUCAUCCUGCAAAAUGUGCCUGCAUCAAAUAAGAUGACGACAUAGACAUAGACAUAUACACAGAGAGACUGGAAAGAGUGAACUAACAACUGGGAGUAUCUAAAAAGGCUUCUUAAAGAAGGAAGUAUUUGAACUGAACCUUGAAGAGAAUUAUCAGGGUUUCCAACCAAGGGUGCAGAAAAUGAGUGAAUAUGUUUUUUUAAAUUGACAGUUUGAAAACACUAUGAGAUAGGACUUAAAUCAUCAAGAUUCUCUCAGUGAGCCACAGACACAGGUUACCAGUGUGUGGUCCCAAGCUGCUGUGACAAAGCAAUGAAGGCAUUCUCAGGGAUGGUGAAAUGCCUAUGAAGAGGCAGAGGGAAUGCUGAAUCCUGAGAAAAAUCAAGAGAACUGGGUCUAGAGAAAAGAAAUCACUACUAUAACAGAUCUGACAAAAGGACAUAUAUGUUCUGCUUAAGGAACUCCAAUGAGGAAAAAAAAACAUAUUUUAAGAUAGCUAGUUCUACUUCAAGGCAUUUCUACAUGAUAAGAAGAUGAAGGCAGAUCUAAAAGUGGCUUCAAGAUUGAAACACAAAAUUACAAAUCUACAUAUAUUCAUGUGUACAUAUCAUAUACGUAUAUAUACAUAAUACAUAUGGGUGUAUGUAUUAUAUGUAUAUUAUGGUUAUAUUCAUCUCACAAGAAUAAGAUGAAGAAGGUGGGGCUAGAUAAUUAUUUUUAUGUA